GAGGCCGAGGGUCAAGCGGUCCUGGGAGACGCUGGCCGCUCUAGAGCCUGCUUCCAGAUGGAAAAAAGUAGGGGACAGGAAAUGAAGCAAAACAAGUUGUCACCGCUCUCAUGUGAGGGUUGGGAUCAAGAUAAUGGAAUAACGGGACGUGGAACUCACCUCUCCCUCAUGAAGAUAUUAAAAAUAUCUCCAUAUGAUGAAAAUUUUCACUGGGAGCUGGCAGAAGGACUUCUGUACAACCAAUACUGAAUGCACCCAUGGCAUAUGGGUCGAAGAGGAGUUGUAGUCACUGGCCUGCACCACAGUCACAGCAAUGUAAGAUCCAAGCUGCAUCUGAGACCUACACCAUAGCUCAUGGCAACACUGGAUCCUUAACCCACUGAGCAAGGCCAGAGAUUGAAUCUGUGUCCUCAUGGAUGCUAGUCAGAUUCGUUGUUGCUGAGCCAUGAUAGGAACUGCUAUUUAUUACUUUUUUGCAAUGUAAAUUUUAUAAUAAGCUUGUCUAGUCUACACAAGUUUUUCUUUUUGGAAUCUUGAUAGAAAUUACAUUAAACCUGUAAAUCGAUUUGGUUAUAACUGUCUUUACUAUGUUGAAUCUUCCAAUACAUGAAAAUCAUAUUUCCAUUUAUUUACAUUUUUAAUUUCUUUUAUCAGCAAUUCAUAACUUUCAGCAUAUAGAUCCUGUAUGUGGUUAAGUUUGUGAAUAAGAUAGGAGAAAUCACUCUACGUAACACUAAGACCUGUUAAAGACCAUCUAAGUCUUUCAUUUUCUUUGAAGUGAUCAUAAGUGGUAUCGCAUGUCUAAUUUUGUUUUCUAAAUGCUCAUUGUUAGCAUUUGGAAAUCCUGUUGAUUUUUACAUCUCAAUCUGUAUCAUGUGACCUUGCUGAAGUCAUUCAGUUCUAGGAGUUUUCUUUAUUGGUAUGUAGAUUUCUUGGGAUUUUCAAUGUGGAUAUACCUGUCAAGAUAUACCAAAUUUGAUAUGUUUUCAGCCAUUUUUGAAUACUUUAGAAAUACAGAUCAAUAUAACAACGAACUAGAAACUAUAUAGAAACCAAUCAAAAUUAGACACCUCAAUUGCCAAGAUAAAAACUAAUCUAAAAGCAAUGAAUAGCAAACUAAAUUAUGCAGAAGAAUGAAUAAGUGACCUGGUUGAUAGAAUAAUGGAAAUUGCACAAUUAGAACAUCAGACAGAAAGUCAAAUAAAAAAAAAUGAAAUAAAUAUACAAGAUCUAUGGGAUAGUUCUAUAUUUAGUUUUCUGAGGUAUUUCCAUACUGUUUUCCAUAGUGGUUGUACCAGUUUACAUUCCCACCAGCAGUGUUGGAGGGGUCUCUUUUCUCCACACUCUAUCCAGCAUUUAUUUGUUGACUUGUUAAUAAUAGCCACUUUGGUGUGAGGUGGUACCUCAUUAUAGUUUUGAUUUGCAUUUCUACAAUAAUUAGUGAUGUUGAGCAUUCUUUCAUGUGCCUGCUGACCAUCUGUAUGUCUUCUUUGGUGAAAUGUCUAUUCAGGUUUCUGCCCAUUUUUCAACUGGGUUGUUUGCUUUUUUGUUGUUGAAUUGUAUGAAUUGUUUGCAUAUUUUGGAGAUUAA
rnacentral:lncRNA from 1 species